GAUGAACGCUGGCGGCGUGCCUAAUACAUGCAAGUCGAACGGAGGAUGUAGCAAUAUGUCCUCAGUGGCGAACGGGUGAGUAACGCGUUGGUGACCUGCCCCGAAGUGAGGGAUAACAGUUCGAAAGGAUUGCUAAUACCUCAUGUGGUCAUUGGGAUUAGAUGCCCGAUGACUAAAGGAGUAAUUCGCUUCGGGAGGGGCCUGCGUCCCAUCAGCUAGUUGGUAAGGUAAUGGCUUACCAAGGCUAUGACGGGUAGGGGACCUGAGAGGGUGGACCCCCACAUUGGCACUGAAACACGGGCCAAACACCUACGGGAGGCAG
rnacentral:rRNA from 1 species